AGUGAGAGAGAGAGAGAGUGAGAGAGAGAAGGGAGCACAGCUCACGACGAGUGCCUGAGAAAAUAACACAAGACACACUUGUGCCCGCGCACGCCAAUUGCUGCUGUCUUACUCAUAGGUAGUUCAUCUAAAAUAGAUAUAUAGGUAUAUAUUUUUAUCUGAAGACAAUUAUGUUUAUAAUAAAGUAUCUCUAACAUAGAUUUGGCAAAAUAUAAAAUGAAAUCGCGAAAUGAUCAAUGAUUUCCCAGUACGGGAAUUAUACGGUUUUUGUAUAGUUGAUAAACAAUACAACCGUCACAUUUGUGAGAAAAAAAGUUGAAUGAACCUAUUCAAUUGGCAUUGACGAACAACUGUCUUUAAAAUAUACUUCCUAAUUUCUAGCAAGCUCGUCUUUAACUUUAUCGCAUAAUACAUUUAAAUUGAAUUUUACGCUUUUGCCGUUGAAAUGGAAACGUUUAUUCCUAGGGACACAGAUUCCACAGAAGAUUUUAGGCCGACAUCUUCAAAGGUGAAAUCUGAACAAUUUCUAUCACAACUGAUUAAAACAUCUAUACUGAGGCAGAUAUACAGACAACAGGAUUCAUGCAUGGAUAUGAUUGAGGUCUUGAUAUUAACCAGUUGUGUCAUGCUAUUUUGCAGUGGAAUGAUCGGGAUUGUAUUUACAAGCUAUAGAUGGUAUUUUCUUCUGACAAUAUUUCAAAUGAGUAAUUAUAAUAUGACUAUCAUCCCAAGUGUUCUCUUCUUAAUAAGUGGCUUGCUACAACUAAUUAGUUCUGUCAUGUUGUUCUUUUGCAUCAACUACUCAGAUAAACGAUAUGCCAAGAAAUUUGGUUUAGUGAUACUUUUGAUGUGCAAUUUCAGUGCAAUUUUCCUGGCUUUGUUGCUAACCUGGGUCUUUAUAGUACCCAUAGAAAAUGAAUGGAAAGUAGGAGAGAGGUUGAAUGCGACAAUCCCUAUAGGUCCAUCCAUGAGCAAUUAUUCAAUAGUUUCAUGGGACACAUUGCAAAAAAAGUUCUUUUGCUGCGGAAUACAUAACGACAGUGAAUGGCUUGUUCUGAAUUUACCAUUGCCUCCGCAUUGCUGUCGAAACUCUAAGAAUGAAAGUACAACAUCUUUUAAAUGUUCCAAACAAGGAUGCUCGAAGAAGUUGGUAGAUUACAUAAAAGAGGGUAACAGUUUCUUCACAGGUUUAGCAUGUGUGAACAUUGUGAAUAACAUGAUUUUGAUUCCUUUUCUCAUCUACCUUACUGUAGUGUGCAAUUAUCCUGUGGUGAUAAAAGUGGACACAUCAAAAGGAAACUCAGACAAAAUAAUAUCUGUUGUUUCGAGUCUUACAAAAAUGUUGAACGAGGUUGGCAUACAACCAGCAAAGAAAGAGAGUAAUUCCAACUACAAAAACUGGUUUUUUCACAUUUCGAAGUACAUUUGGAAAAACAAUUAAAUUAGCAUGUGUUUUAAUAUAUUAAUAAUUUACAAAGUAAAACAAGUACUUACAUGAAUAGAUAAAAAUCUGUUUGUAGAAGAAAAAACAAUGUAUUUUCAUUAUGCUGCAUCAGGAAAAGAAGAUGAAAUUAAAAUGACUGAACUUAUGGAUAUGAAAAGAGAACACAUAAAGCAGCCUCCAGAACUUAAGACGAUAAGAGGAGAACAUUUUUAUAAAUCGAUGCAAUAUGGAUUGCGAAUUGUGAAUGGGAUCAACACUGUCCUCAGCAUAUCAUUUCUAUUAAUAGGAAUGAUUUUGGUAUACAAAAGAGAAGAAGGAUUUGUCAUUAUUCAGAAAGACACCUACCAAUCGCUUUCAACAGCCAUGAUGUUAAAUGGAGCUGCAAUGACAUUAUUUUCUCUCUUAGGGUUUUUCACUCUACAAGUCACUUCAAGAAAAUAUUUGUUGCUAUUUCAUGCUAUUGUGGGUGCUGUAUUGUUGGGUAAUAUAGUCGUAUCAAUACUCAAGAUACCAACAGAAAAUGAUAUUUUAAACCAAACCAAAGAAUAUCUGUAUAAAAGCUUGGCUAUGUAUUACAACGAUUCUACUUACCAUUUUGUAUGGGAUAAUUUGCAGUAUAGGAUGCAUUGCUGCGGUAUUCUUAGCUAUAGAGAUUGGUGUCAUAAUAAUAAAGACAAUGUUUCGGUUUGUGACAUACCUACUAGCUGUGCCCACUGCAAUUUACCAUGUG
rnacentral:misc_RNA from 1 species